GACGAACGCUGGCGGCGUGCCUAAUACAUGCAAGUAGAACGCAGUUGCGAACGGGGGAGUAACGCGUAGGUAACUGCCUCAAAGCGGGGGACAACUAUGGGAAAAGAUUGCUAAUACCGCAUAAUGUGAGAUGGACCUGCGUUGUAUUAGUUAGUUGGUGAGGUAAAGGCUAACCAAUGCGACGAUACAUAGCCGAACUGAGAGGUUGGCUGGCCACGAUGGGGAGUCGGCGCAGCCCAGACUCCUUCCUGAGGCAGCCGGAGGGAAUCCUCGGCAAUUGUCGGAAUUCGUUCCGCACAACGCCGCGUGGGUUAAGAAGGGUUUCGGAUCGUAAAGCUCUGUUGUUAGAGAGGCGGUAUCUAACCAGAAAGGGACGGCUAACUACGUGCCAGCGGCCGCGGUAAUUC
rnacentral:rRNA from 1 species